AUGACCUCCUGAAGUUGGCGCAGGGACUGAGAGCCUCAUUGUGUUUUGUCCUCAUUCUGUAUCUGCUUGAAGGUUGUGGUGUCUCUUGGGAAGUUCCACCGCACAUUAAGGGCUCUGGAAUUUCUCCCUGGGGGUUUCUAACCAUGGCAGAGGCUGCAGUGCAACAUGACAUCAAGGAAGCUCACAUUUCUUCUACCUUUCCCUCCCCUUUCAUUAAGGGAUGGGAAACUUUAACCUACAAGUGUAACAGAGGUUUUCAGCUCUGCUAG
rnacentral:lncRNA from 1 species